rnacentral:lncRNA from 1 species
UUGGGUUUAGUUUGACAAGCAGGCUAGAAAAUCAUGGUUAAAGUGAACAAGUGGGAAAUCAAAGAAGGGUUAAUUGGUAAAUACUGAAACCAUUUCUGCUGCGCUAGAGGCUUUCUAUAAAAAGGCAUGUUUCUUCAUUGUCCUGGGAGACUGGUGAGAUUAGAGAUUGAAAAAAUACAAACUACAACUAUUGAUACUCUGAAAAAAGCCCUAAAAGUUCCUGCAUUCU